UUAUAUAUAUAAGGUUAAGUUAUAUGUAUAUAACUAUGUAAAAUAAUACGUAUUAUAUAUUUUUACUUAUAGAUAUAUAUAAUUGUAUAAAAUAAUAUUAUUUAUAAUAUAUCCUCAAAUGGAAACUAAAUAUAUAGUUAUAUUUAUAACAUAUCAUCAUAUAUAUUAAGCUUAAUUUCACAUGGGUCUCUGCAAAUAUAAUGAAUAGCAAAUAUAUCCAUACAAUGUUCAACUUUCAUUUGUUGUUCCUGCUAAAAUCUUGAUAUUUUCAAAUAUGUCUAUACCGUUAGAAUCCGUUAGAAAAAUUUAGUUAACCAUAGGUUAAAUAUUUAACCUUGAUUAGUUUUUUGACAUUUUUACCCCUCUUAUAUUAUAUUGUUAUGGCUUUUGAAUAGAUAUAUUUGUGAUAACAAAAUUGAAAAUAUAAACGGUUCUCUAACUGUAACAAACCAUAGGGAUAUAUUUGAAAAUAUUAGAACUUUUGUAGGGACAACAUAUAAACAUUGAACUUUGUAGGAAUAUAUUUGACAUUCACUAUAUUUGUAGGGAUCUGUAUAAAAUUAACCCUAUAUAUAAAUAUAUAUUCUUAAUAACACUAUAUACAUAUAUAUAUCAUUUAUCCUUAUAGAAUUAUAUAUAUAUAUAUAUGAUAUAUAUAUAAUAUUAUAUACUAUAUAUUAUAUAUAUAUACUCUAUAUAGUAGUAUAUAUAUAGGCAUGGAUCUAUAACUAUUAUGAGUAAUUGGAGCCGUCAUACUCGAUAAGUUGUUUUCAAUGAUGCGAGCUUCGAAUCGGCGAUCCUCUGUUAAAGUUAUGAUAUAGAGUUUUUUGAAACUUCUUAAGAAAAUGAAUUUGUAAAUUUUCGAAAUCUAAUGUAGAUAUAGAUAGGAGAGACAUAAAAUGAACGGUCAAAAUCGAACGACGUUCUUAAAAAGGGCAAUGAUCGGAUCUUCAAUUCAAGAUCGGAGUUAGGUGAUCUUUAUUUAUGUAGGAAUAAAAUUUUCUAUCAUAAAAUUCAACAAAUUCCGAUUUUUUAUACCGUUAAAUAGCAAGUGAUUGAUACCGACUUAAAAUUGUCCAAUUUGUGACUAUUGAUCGUGAAGGUAAAUUGAUGUCAAAAAAUUAUAAAGUGAAUUUCUAGAAGUUUAGAAGGAUGUAAAUAAUGUUUACGGUGUGGUAUCAUCGAUUCGAAAGCGUCUAUCAUCGAAAACAACUGAUGAGUCCGAGGACGAUCGUAUAUAUAGUAUAGUAGCGGACCCAUAAAUAUUAUAUUAUAUAUAUAUAUAUAUAGAUAGUAUAUAUAUUAGUAUAAUAUAUAAUAUGAAUUUUUUUUUUUUUUUUUUUUUUUUUUUAUUUUUUUUUUUUUUUUUUUUUUUUUUAUAUCAUAUAUAUAAUUGAGCUGAUACUUUUACAAGUAUUAACUCUUCCAUGAGCUAUUAGGUUUUUAGCAUUGAUCGACGUCAUUAGUUAUUAAUAGUCCUUGCGAAUCAAUAUAGUAUUCCAUCCUAUACACCUACCACCAUCAUUCUCAACCUCAUUCUCUCCAUCAAUGGCUAAAAACUCAAAAGCACCACUCACAUAAUACUUUUACAAGUAUUCUAGCUCAACUAUAUAUAUAUAUAUAUAUAUAUAUAUAUAUAUAACUAAAUUUUUUAUUUUGAUAACUAUCGUGUCGGGCUUUCAGGUCGGGCUCGGACUGGGUUUCGACAUGUCUAGAUAGGUCCAAUUUUUUUUUUCGGAUAUAAAUUUCUAAGCCCGGCCUAAAUCUAAAGUUAUAAUUUUGAUACCUAAAACCCGGCCCAUAUAUGGCCUAUCGGGCCGAACCUGUUUAGGCCCGGUCCUAGUUCUAUCCAUAGCUGGGUUGCACCACUUUAUUCUGCACAGUUGGUUAUUUUUUAUCACUUUGUAAAUCCAACUUAUCUCGAGAACGAUAUCCUGAGAAUGAUAUCCUACACAGUGGAAGCAAAUGAUGCAUAACUACUCGACCUGAUAUGGUUUAUCGAUUUAAAUUGAUUGAGUUCAUUGUUUUUGCUUUUAAAUUAGAUUAGAUUAGUUGAUCUUAUUUUUUAGUUAGUAUUUAUUUUCAGAUAACUAUUCAAUUAUUUAGAUUAGAGUAGUUCAUUUAUUCAGAUUCUAAAUUAUUAUUUUUAUUAGUUUAUUUUAGAUAUUUGUUUUCUAAUUUUUAAGAUUUCUCAUAUGGAAUAGGUUCCUAAAAAUUAGAUAUAUGGUUUAAGGCCUUUUUAAAUAUGUUCGAAAUAGAAAAAUUCUAAAAUUACAAGAUUUGGUUUAGAUUAAGAUUGUAUGUUGAUGACUACAAAUAUAGCAUUGUAAUUUUAGGGCUAUAUUAUAGAAAACACAUUUAUAAAUAUUUUAUUUUUCACUUUUUCUUUCUAACUUUCAAAAGUUUAUAUUUUACUCUCUCAAUACUUCAGGUUGUUGCAUUUAGUCCCCAUAUGUCAGAUUUCAUCAUUAUUCCGUCUAUUUCUUAUAAUUUAUGCUGAAAAUAUCAUUCAAAAUAAAAAAAAUAUAUUAAAAAUUUUUUUUCUUAAAGAAGAAGUAAAGGUAAUUUAGUUAUUUUGCCAUCUCCAUUAACAUCGUAUCCCUCUAAAAAUAUUUCUAAAAUUUUAUUGGGGGCAAAAAUGUAGGUUAUUAAAAGUUAGGAAAGAAAAUUGAAAAAAAGGGGUAUAAACUGAAGGGUUUUUUGUAAUUUAGUCUAAUUUAGAAAUUAGUUAUAAUGUAAUAAAAUUUGGUAUUUUGGGUUUUGACUAUUGUUACAAUAUUUUCUUUUUCUUCUUGUCGUGUGUCCGAAAUUUUAUCUUUCUAAUGGUUCUUUCUUUUCUUGUAUGAGGACUGAUUUUUAUGGUAUAAUCUGGUGCUUUCCAGUGGUGUUUUCAGGUAUUUUAAUUUUAAAAUUAUUGGCUUAAUUUUGGGAAAAAUUUUUUUUUAUCAAAGGUGUUCAGUGACUAGUGCUAUUCACUUAACUGAAUAAUAGCCAGUGUUUUAUUUUGAGGCUUUACCUUGAGGGUGGCUUCAGAUGUGAAUCAGACUCUAUUUCAGAUGACCCAAUAGGUCGUUUCCAAUGGUAUGAUUGUGCCGGAGGUGAUGGCAUGGUCCGAUUUUACAUUUGAUGCACAAUUUUCUAGAAAACCUAUUUUUAUUGCAGAUUGGCCUUUUUCUGCUCGAUAUUUUUGCUUUUGAGAAUUAUUCGGUGCUCCGUUUUGCAUGAAAAUAUAUGGGAUGGUGCCUUAGGGUAUGAAACUUUAAGGUUGGAGGGCCUAAUUACAGUUUUUGCAAUGCAAAUUUGGAGCAAUUUGCGAAGGGGCUAUCAUUUUAUGUAAAAAAUUUCACAGUUUUGAUGGUAGAAGGUUCUACAUGAAAGUAGUCUUAGAGAUGAGUUUAUGUCUCAAAUUUCACGGAAUUCGGUUUUAUCGGUGCAGAAUGGCGUUGUUUUGAUUCUUAUGAAGGAGAUUCGUUAUCGUGAAGCUUUUCGGACUUAAACGCAUUAUUGGGAGUAUCUUGGUGCACUUUGGGUUGGAGAGGGAUGUAGGCACAAUUUUCAAUGGCUUGUGGGGGACUGAGGUGAAAUUUGCCUCAUCUUGAGGGGCUUAUUGUGCCGUUUUUCUAAACUAUAUACUAAUAUGUUGUUACAUGUGUAUAUUUAGGGCUGGCAAACGAGCGAGCCGGCUCGCGUUCGACUCGUGUUCGGCUCGAUAUUCGGCUCGCUCGAGCUCGACUCGAAAUUAAAUGAGCCGAGCUUGAACAAAAUAAAAGGCUCGAAAUUCAUUUCAAGCCGAGCUUGAGUAUUACUCGGCUCGUUCGAAUUAGGCUCGAAAAGCUCGAAAAGCUCGAAUAUAUAUAUAUAUAUAUAGAAUUAUGCUACUAUACUAUCAACAGUACCAAGCCCUUGGUACUAUUGAGUUUUCGCCGUUGGAUGAAAGAUGUGCGGUUAGGAUGAUAGUAGUCCCGGUUAAAUGAUAGUGGUCCGUAGGAUUGAGUGGGUGGUUGUUUUAAUAGUAUAACUCUAACGGAUAUGGAAUGUCAAAGGGUUAGAUCUAACGUAGAAAACUCAAUAGUACAAGGGCUUGUACUAUUCGAAUAGUAUAGUAGCCGGACUCAUUAUAUAUAUAUAUAUAUAUAUAUAUAUAUAAUAUAUAUAUUAUAUAUUAUAUAUAUAGGCUCGGGCUACUAUACUCUAAUGGUUAUAGACCCCAUGUACUCAUAAAUUUUUAACGUUGAUUGAUGGGUGUGUGGUUAGGAUGAUGGUGGUCCUCACAUUAGAAUGAUAGUGGUCCCGUAGGGUUUGGAUAGUUGGUUAAAUAAUAUGAUCUAAGGAUAAUAAUUAAUGGAAUAUAAUCUAAGGGUCGAAACUUAUAUAAGUAUAAAGGAGUCAAUACUCAUAAAGUAUAGUUCGGACUCUUAUAUAUAUAUAU
rnacentral:lncRNA from 1 species